rfam:Lachnoclostridium sp. An131 An131_contig_22, whole genome shotgun sequence.
UGUAUUGUGAGGUACAGGCGAGAAGAAGGGAUAGCGAAAUCGUAGCCUGACGGACAGAAACCUGAUAUAAGGCGUACAUGGCGGAUAAGCUGACCGUAGACAGCGAAGUCCAAAAGGCAACCGUAACCCAUGUGCGUAAAUCAGGCAGGUAGACGAGGAAAGACUGGCAG